GACCUCGGAUCAGGUAGGGAUACCCGCUGAACUUAAGCAUAUCAAUAAGCGGAGGAAAAGAAACCAACAGGGAUUGCCUCAGUAACGGCGAGUGAAGCGGCAACAGCUCAAAUUUGAAAUCUGGCCUUCUGGUCCGAAUUGUAAUUUGUAGAGGAUGCUUCGAACAUGGUCCGGUCUAAGUUCCUUGGAACAGGACGUCAUAGAGGGUGAGAAUCCCGUAUGUGACUGGGUGCCUAAGUUUAUGUGAAGCUCCUUCAACGAGUCGAGUUGUUUGGGAAUGCAGCUCAAAAUGGGUGGUAAAUUUCAUCUAAAGCUAAAUAUUGGCCAGAGACCGAUAGCGCACAAGUAGAGUGAUCGAAAGAUGAAAAGCACUUUGGAAAGAGAGUUAAAUAGUACGUGAAAUUGUUGAAAGGGAAGCGCUUGCAAUCAG
rnacentral:rRNA from 1 species